ensembl:snRNA U6 U6 spliceosomal RNA
AUGCUCGCUUCGGCAGCACGCGUACUAAAACUGGAACUGUACGGGGAAGAUAGCACGGCCUCUGCGCAAGGAUGACGUGCAAGUUCGCGAGUGUUUCGUAGUUUUA